AUGACGCUCAAGCUCUUAAUGGAAGUGAGCCCGCAGGAGCUGCUGGAGUCCCUCGCCGAGCUCCAGAACCACGUGCUCGGCUACGUCAAGUCUACGUCGCUCAAGUGCGCCGUGGACCUCGGCAUCCCGGCCACCAUCCAUAAGCGCGGCGGCACCGCCACCCUGGCCGACAUCGCGGCCGACGCCAAGGUGCACCCGGCCAAGCUCGCCGACCUCCGCCGCAUGAUGGCGCUGCUCGGCGCCUCGGGCAUCUUCACCACCACCGCCGCCGGCACCGGGGACGACGACGGUGCUGCCGACGACACGGCCGCCGUGCAGUACGGGCUGACCACCACGGGCCGCUUCCUCGUCGGCUGGCGCAACCUGUCCCCCGUGGCGCCCUUCUUCGUCAACCCUCUCAUCGUCUCCUCCUUCUUCGACCUGCCUGACUGGCUCAGGAGCGAGCCGGCGCCGGCCGGCGCUGCCUCCCUGUUCGAGCAGGCGCAUGGCUGCUCCAGGCAGGAGAUGGUGGGCAAGGACGCCGGGUUCGGCAGCGUCCUGAGAGACGCCAUGACCGCCGACAGCGAGCUCUUCCUGGAGGUCAUUAUUGUUGACAAGGGCCGCAUCUUCCGCGGCGUGAGCUCCCUCGUCGACGUCGGCGCCGGCAACGGCGCCGGCACGCGGGUGGUGGCCAAGGCGUUCCCGCGCAUCAAGUGCACCGUGCUGGACCUUCCUCAAUCCGUCGGCCAGGCAGCCGCCGCCGGCGACGGCAACCUGAGUUUCGUCGCAGGUGACAUGUUUGAAUCCAUUCCGCCGGCGGAUGCUGUCCUGCUCAAGAAUGUUUUGCAUGACUGGGGCCACGACGACUGCGUCAAGAUACUUCAGCGUUGCAAGGAAGCCAUCCCCGCUAGGGGCGCCGGAGGGAAGGUGAUAAUCAUAGAUAUGGUAAGAGGGUCUCUGCUCGGCGAUAAGAAGAUCGGCGAGAUGGAAGCCAUGCAGGACAUGUUCGCGAUGUGCACCAACGGGGUGGAACGGGACGAGAGCGAGUGGAAGAGGAUCUUUUCCGAUGCUGGAUUCAGCGACGAUUACAAGAUCAUGCCGGUGUUGGGUCCCUUAUCAGUGAUGGAGAUCUACCCAUGA
rnacentral:rRNA from 1 species